rnacentral:lncRNA from 1 species
CGGCUCACUGCAACCUCUGUCUCCUGGGUUCAAGCAAUUCUCCUGCCUCAGCCUCCUAAGUAGUUGGGAUUACAGGUGCCUGCUACCAUGCCCAGCUAAAUUUUGUGUAUUUUUAGUAGAGACGCGGUUUCACCAUGUUGGUCAGGUUGGUUUCGAACUCCUGACCUCAAGUGAUAUGCCCACCUCAGCCUCCCAAAGUGCUGGGAUUACAGGCAUGAGCCACUGCCCCUGGCCCAGAAUGGCCUUUUUUAAACAGUUCAAGUUACCGUCCAGUUCCAAAUCCUCCAGGAGCCUCCCAUUGCCUUCAGAAUGAAAUCCUAAGUCCUCUGCCUAAAAUGCCCUCUGUAGAACUGGGCACAGUGGCUCACACCUGUAAUCCCAGUGCUUUGGGAAGCCGAGACAGGAGGAUGGCUUGAGCCUAGGAGUUUCAGAUCAGCCUGGGCAACAUGGUGAGACCCGUGUCUCUACAAAAAAAAAAAAAAAAAAAACCCGAAAACUUCACCGGGCGUGGUGAUGUGUGCCUGUAGUUCCAGCUACUGAGGAGGCUGGGGCUGAAGAGGCUGGGGUGGGAGGAUCAGUUGAGCCUAGGAAGUCGAGGCUGUAGUGAGCUAUGAUUGCACCGCUGUACUCCAGCCCGGGCACCAGAGCAAGACUCUGUCUCUAAAUAAAUAAAUGAAAUAAAAUGCCCUCCACCAUCUGACUCUCAGUUCACUCUGCGACUUCAUCUCCACUUCUGCUCAAUCAUUUGGUGCUCGUCACGCCAGCCUCCUUCUUGUUUCUUGAACACCCCAAGCACGAUCCUACCUCACGCCUUUGCACUGGUGGCCCCCUCUGCUUUGCCUCAGGUCCCCUGAGCCCUCCCUCACUUCAUCUAAGGUUCUGUUCAAAUGUCACCUCUUCAGAGAGGCCUCCCAGACCACUCUCUAGGAAACUGCAGACUCUCCACCCGCAGACAUAUACCUGACCCUCCCAUCUUCCCUUCCGCUUGAGUUUUCCCCAGGACACUUACGACCACAAAUCUGUGAUUAUUUGAUCAAUUAUAUGAUUGAUCUCCUCAACUGGACUAAAAGUCCUUGAGCUCUGAGUCGAGUCUGUUCUGUUCACUGUUCCCAGUGCCUAGGCCAGAGCCUGGCACACAGCAGGAACUCAUAAAUGCUUCUUUUGUGAAUGAAUGAAUGAAUGAAUGAGUGAAUGACCGGAGUGCGUGGGUGACUGCACUACACUCUUUUUUUUUUUCUUAUACUUUAACUUCUGGGGUACAUGUGCACUAUGUGCAGGUUUGAUACAUAGGUAUACAUGUGCCAUUUUGGUUUGCUGCACCCAUCAACUCGUCAUUUACAUUAGGUCUUUUUUUUUUUUUUUUUUUUUGAGACGGAGUCUCGCUCUGUCACCCAAGCUGGAGUGCAGUGGUGGGAUCUCGGCUCACUGCAAGCUCCGCCUCCCGGGUUCACGCUAUUCUCC